AUGCAGCUUCUGCUAGCUGUAUUAGCGUCAGGCAUGCAUUUGAUCCAUCAUUUCAACAGUAGGCCUAGGGAAUCUAGCAAAGAGACUGAACCCUCGGAGGGGCGCUUCUCCUAUGGCAGCGACCCGAACAGAUCCCUCCAAGUAUUCCUAUGGGAUGGGCAGCACUUAGUGGCUCGCAGCGCCCCCUGGACAGGAUACCUAGUGACGAGCCUACACCAACUACAGCUAGGGGGUGUCACGAACGUCAGCGAUCUUAUCAUCUACCUUGCCUUCGUCGACAAUGACGAUGAAACAUAUGUCACUUAUAGUCUCUCGGAAGGUGCCCCGCACACCAGGUUUGUGCUAACCUACUAUGGUCAGUAUGAGCUCCAAAGCUGGAGCAGCAGGUCGUCAACAUGGGCUAUCCUUUAUAAGUUUCCGUCUGCUGAGUGCAACCGCUACAGUUACUGCGGCCCAUAUGGCUACUGUGACGAGACGGCCGCGGCACCCAUUGUGCCAACAUGCAAAUGCCUUGAUGGCUUUGAGCCGACUAGCACAGAGGAGUGGACAAGCGGAAAAUUCUCGUCAGGGUGCCGACGGAAGGAGGCAUUGCGAGGUUGUGGUGAUGGUUUCAUGGCCUUGCCGGGGAUGAAGUCGCCUGACAAGUUUCUGUUUAUAGGUGGGGGCAGGAUUAAGUUCGAGGAGUGCGUGGAGGCGUGCAGCCGCAAUUGCUCCUGUGUGGCAUACGCGUUUGCCAACCUGAGUAGCAGCAGGUCUGGAGGAGAUGUGACAAGAUGCUUGGUGUGGGACGAGGAGUUAGUUGACACAGGAAAGGUGGGGGAGAUCGGCGGUGAGACUCUCUAUCUUAGGCGUGCAAGCAUGGAUGCAACAACUGGUAAAAGAACAAAGAGCAAUGCAGUGAGGAUUGUGCUGCCAAUUUUAGGCUCUAGUGUUCUGGUUCUCGUAUGCAUCUCCCUUGCAUGGUUAAAAUUCAGAGGUAUGUUUAGUAUACUCUUCUUAGCAAAAUGUUAUAUUUGA
rnacentral:rRNA from 1 species